GACGGAGGGAGCGAGCGGUAAUCGGAAGUCCUGGGCGUAAAGCGCAUGUAGGCUGCCGAACAAGUCAGGUAUGAAAUCCUCGGGCUUAACCUGGGAAGUGCACUUGAUACUGUCCGGCUAGAGUUUGGCAGAGGAAGGUAGAAUUCCCGGUGUAGCGGUGAAAUGCGUAGAUAUCGGGAGGAAUACCAGUGGCGAAGGCGGCUUUCUGGGCCAAUACUGACGCUUAGGUGCGAAAGCGUGGGGAGCAAACAGG
rnacentral:rRNA from 1 species